CAGAGAGAGAUGGAGACCCACAGACCACGGCCGGCACUGCAGGUAGUGGUGGCUUCAGAAGUUGGUGGCUUUUGCACUUCCUGGGAGCCCUGAAGGAAAAGCCCAGACUCGGUGUCCGAAAAGCCCUUUGCUGCUCACUGUGUGGCUACAGCAAGGAACAAAUCAGAACAAAAUCUGUACCCACAUCUUAGUGGAGGAAGAGAGACAAUAAAAAAUUAAACAUGUAAGUACACAUUAUGAGUGGUGGUAAACACAGAAAAUGGGGAUUGUUCCUGACAGGGUGAAGGGAAGGUAUCAAUCAUGAAAUUAUAUUUGAGCAGAGCCCCAGAGGAGGUGAAAGGGGACAUAGAUAUUGGGAGACAAGCUUCCUAAGCAGAUGGAUCAGCAAGUGCAAAGGCCCUGGUGUGGGCAUUAUGCUAUAAGACAGAAUUGAGGACACAGCUGAUGUUUCUUAGUGUAGCAUUCCAGAUGGAGUAUAGGAUGCCUGGUUAUGCUGGAAUCACAGUUAAACAAUGGCCAAUUCUAAUAUAAGGAUGUCCCAUACAAUUUGGGACAUAUUUAUACUAAAAAAAUUUAUUCAUUGUUUAAUUGAAAUUAAAAUUUAACUGUGUUAUAUUUUUAUUUGCUAUAUCUGGUGAAUCUCUUCAGUGGUCAGUCAUCGUGUAAGGCACAGAAAUAAAGAUCUUGGUGCUUCUACAAGGGGCCCUGGCUGGAAGACACAGGGAGUCAGCACAGGGGGGCCUGGCAGUGGAUGCUGGUCUUGCUGUUUGGGACCGUGGGCCUUGGCUGAGCCCUCCGCCUUAUGAGCCUUCCUAACUCAGCUGGAGGUGGGAGACGCAGUAUCUGAUUCCGGGCAGUAGGAAGAUCAGAGAUGAGCUUCAGGCAGCACGCUCUUUAAUCCCAGCUCCUUGGGAGGCUGAGACAAGGUCACAAGUUUGAGUUCAGCCUGGGCAUCAUGGAGAGGCCUGGUCUCCAAAUGAAAAAUAAAAAGUUCUGAGGACAUAGCUCAGCGGGCCCAACCCCCAAUACUGCCAGAAACCCUAAAACAACAACAACAACAACAAUAACAAAACUGGAGUGAAACCGCAAACCUUUCUGCCCUGUCGCCUUGUCAUUGACACUAACUCCUAUCAAGCUUCGUAUUGUGUAUUGUGUACGAGAUGUGCUCGCAUCUGCUGAUCUUCUGAAACUAUCUUUUCACAUGAGUCUUGCUUAAAAAGACAUUUCACCAAGAGGGAGGCAAUAAAGAUAAAACUUGAAGUAAAAGAAACAGCAAUUUUUUUUUUUUGUACCAGCGAUUGAACUCGGGUCCUUGCACUUGCACAGCAGGCGGCGAAACCACUGAGCUAAAUCCCUGGCGCAAAAGGACGAUUUUUUUAAAAAUGAGCAGAAACACAGCAAGGGCAGUGAGGGAAGAGAACAGAGACAGCGAGCAGAACUGCGGAGUGGUGACCCGGGAGUUGAAAGCCCAGAGGACUCCCUGCCUGCACUGACUCACUGUGGGACUCGGGGCUGAUGGUUUCUCUCUGGGUCUCAAUUUCUCUAUCUUCAAGAUGAAGGCACUGAACCAUAGAUCUACAGAAUUUUAUUGUAACUGACGGAAAGCUCAGCACACAUUGGCUUGAACAGCCAAGUCCUGGGUGGGACUGGCUUCAGGUUCAGCAGGCUCCAGCGGCUCAUGGUGCUGUCCGUCUGCUGCCUUUUUGCUUGCUUCUCUAUAUAUCUAGCUCUCUCUCUCUCUCUCUCUCUCUCUUUCUCUCUGGCUGUCCUUCAAGGGAGCAGGUAGACAUUGCUUUAAAGAUGGGGAGUCCCCAAACAGAAGAGGUUCAAAUGUCACUGGGAGGAAGGAGACGCUGAUAAGCUAGAGCAAUGAACAUUCCUGCUCUUAAAAAAAGAUUUCUGGUUUUUGAUGUUUCUGCAGGGAGAGGAGUUUAUCAGAUCUGUCACCAGCCCAUGGGCAGUUUUCAGCUACUCACUUUGCAGCCCUUGAGGGGCUUGCAGGGAGUUGCUUGACCAGGUCCUUUGGCUGCAUAAGGGCCGUGCCUUCUUCAAACCCCAUAGCACCCUUUGAAAGGCCAGGGGCACCCUGGGUUUGCAGAAGUGGACUGGUAGCUGUGUUGUCACAUGCACGCCCAG
ensembl:lncRNA